rnacentral:rRNA from 1 species
AAACCAGCACCUCAAGUGGUCAGGAUGAUUAUUGGGCCUAAAGCAUCCGUAGCCUGUUCUAUAAGUUUCCGGUUAAAUCCAUUAGCUCAACUAAUGGGCUGCCGAAAAUACUGUAGAACUAGGGAGUGGGAGAGGUAGACGGUAUUCGGUAGGAAGGGGUAAAAUCCUUUGAUCUAUUGAGGACCACCUGUGGCGAAGGCGGUCUACCAGAACACGUUCGACGGUGAGGGAUGAAAGCUGGGGGAGCAAACCGGAUUAGAAACCCGAGUAGUCC